rnacentral:snoRNA from 1 species
ACUGGCAUCAGUGAUGUCAUUGAUAAUCCCAGCUCUAUGAGAUCUUCAGUUGAAGGCCCAGGAAUAGAUUUUAUCAAUUUUUGUCAGCCUCUAU